GACGAACGCUGGCGGCGUGCUUAACACAUGCAAGUCGAACGGAAAGGCCCUGCUUUUGUGGGGUGCUCGAGUGGCGAACGGGUGAGUAACACGUGAGUAACCUGCCCUUGACUUUGGGAUAACUUCAGGAAACUGGGGCUAAUACCGGAUAGGAGCUCCUGCUGCAUGGUGGGGGUUGGAAAGUUUCGGCGGUUGGGGAUGGACUCGCGGCUUAUCAGCUUGUUGGUGGGGUAGUGGCUUACCAAGGCUUUGACGGGUAGCCCGCCUUAGAGGGGGACCGGCCACCAUGGGACUGAGAGACGGCCCAGACGCCUACGGGAGGCAGCAGUGGGGAACAUGGCACAACGGGCGGACGUCUGAUGCAGAAACGUCGCGUGCGUGAUGACGGCUUUCGGGGUGUAAACCGCUUUCGCCUGUGACGAAGCGUGAGUGACGGUAAUGGGUAAAGAAGCACCGGCUAACUACGUG
rnacentral:rRNA from 1 species